rnacentral:misc_RNA from 1 species
GUCCAGUUGGUCGCCGGUGUACGCAGAGGAGGGGCGCAGCGUGCUGCCGCUGCCGCGCCGAGCCACGCUGCCUGACGUCCUACCCACCGCCGCUGAUACACCGGACGGAGACGCACAGAGGCGACCGUCGAGAGCGGACACCGGCGCCGGAGACGAGCGGCGGCGCGGCGGAGACGAGCGGCGGGGCGGCCGAGACGCGCCGCGGGCGGACACCGGCGGCGGCAUCCGUCAGCGCCGCCCGCAUGCCUGCCGGACGCAAAAACGCCCAUGCUCGGGCAGCAAAAAGCGGCCGCUCGGUCUGACCUGCAGCGCCCGGUCCGGGCGAAGGCGGCGGCGGCGCGGCGAUGGCGUCCGGCGGCGCGCUCGACUCGCUGUUCACGGUGCCGGGGCGCGUGCAGCCCGGCGAGCCGGCCGACCCGGAGGAGCCGGCCGCGGCGGCCGCCAGCGCGCUCGGCCUCCGCCGACAGGUCUGGGUCAUCCCCGUGAUGGUGAUCGCUGCCAUGAACGUGUUGGCCAUGCUCUCGUUCGAGGCGUACGUGUUGUUCAAGGUGUCUCGCACGGCGCCCAGCCGGCGCCACGUGAUGCUGGGCCAGGCGCUGCUGGCCGGACUGCUGCUGGCCUCUCUGACGGCCGGCGCGCACGUGUUUGAGCCGUCCGUGGCGUCGUGCGCCGUGAUCCGCCUCGGCACCGGACUGGCGUACUCGCUCAUGUUUGCCGCGCUACUCGUCAAGUGUGUGUUCCUCAUCAGCCUGAAUGGCGGUGUGUACCUGCCGGCCAACUACCAGGCGCUGCUGCUGUUCUUCGUGGUGCUGACGCAGCUGGCCAUCUCGGCGCAGUGGCUGGCCGUGACGCCGCCGGCCGUGGCGGACGGCGCCUGCGCCGCCUCGUUCCACGUGCACCUCCUGACGCUGCUGUACCCGCUGUUCCUGCUGGUGCUGGUCGCCUGUGUGGCAGCGCGCUCGCGGCGCAUCAAAGACAAUUACCGCGAGGCGGCCUACAUCGGCGUAGCGUCGGCGCUGAGCGUGCUGGUCUGGUGCACGUGGGUGGUGGCCGGCCUGGUGGCGGCGCCCCUCUACCGGGACGCCUCCGUCAGCCUCGGGCUGGCCGUCAAUGCUACGCUCGUGUUUCUGGUGAUGUUUAUGCCCAAGGGCCGCCAGCUGGCCGCCAUGGGCCGCCAGGGAGUGCGCAGGGACGAUCGCGAGGACAGACUGAGUCUGAGCUACGCCGACCCGCGCGCCGCCUCGCCCAGUUUCUACCACUUCCGUCCGGUGAAGGUGCAGCCGGCAGUUGCAGAUCGGCGCAGGAAGUCUGGUCCGGUGGCGGUGCCGCUGCCGCUUCCCUCCUACUACCAGACGCCGUACCUCAUACCGCGCUGCUCAGGACUAUACUUUACCAGCGAGUACGAGGCAUGACCGGCGGCCGGCCGUUAGCUAGGACUGCAUGCGGGGUCACCUUAGAGGCACUGACGAGCUCGGCCACAGGCUACAUCCGGCAGGACGACAACAACAUGUACAACACCAUCGACCACAUCAAGUCGCAGUACCGGGCGCCGGCCGAGCGCACGCUCUCCGCCGGAAACCCCAAUGUGUUCUUCUAUCGGACUCCGCCGCACCCCGGCAUGAUGUACUGACGUGACGUCACCGGUGCCGUGACGCGAGUGACGUGAGUGACGCGAGCCGCGCGCAGCAGUGAUCUCUGAUGGGGCGGGGGCGCCCGCGGGGCGCCGGGGCUGCCGGUCAGCGCCCUGUGCCGACUGCGGGGGCGCCGCCGCGGCCGGUGUGACGUUUUUACCUGUGUCUCUGAUGGCCGCGGGGACGGAUGGCGGGCCGUCGGGCGCGUCAGUGCCGAGCUCAGUGUUUUUGUUCGUGUCCGCCGGACGGACGGGCCCUGAUGGAUGGAAGACGCCACCGCCCGGCGAUCGUCUUGACCCGAGAUACAAUCGAGCCGAUCGGAGGGCGCGCGGCUUUCACACAUAUCUUGCUGCGCAGACGAACCCGACAAACUCAUUCGUGGCCUCAUGCUGUGUGAGAGCACGCUAUGUCGACUCGGGAUGGUCGUAUGGCAUGUGACGGUGAUAUUAAAUUCAUCCGAAGUGUCA